rnacentral:misc_RNA from 1 species
AAUUAUCAAGCUAGAUGGCUUUUGUUAUCUUCGCUUGGUGUUUGGGCUUUGCCGUGUCCAUCUACUGGAACGGCUGGUCUUAAAAGUAUUAGCUGACUCUCAAUGUGGGUGCUGGUUCUACUCAGCGUGAUAAUAUCUUGACCGCUGAGGACAUCUUUUGGGAUGGCCAGUCCUCGUUGGGGUUGCUUUCUAAUCUGGAGUCGCGGGACCUUCUCAUUAUGAGGUUCCUGUGUGCUGCUUUCAA